CAUCCUUGUUUGAUUUCUUAGACGCUCAUUCUAAUUGUUGUUUACUUAGAAAUUCCUACUGUUAUACCUGAAAUUCUCUGUGUUCUUAGUUUCACAAUUUCUGCGUUAGAUCUCUAAAGUAAUUCUUGAGAUUAGAUAAACAUAUAGUCAGUAUUUCUUAAUUAUUUUUCUCUAUAAAAUCCAAACACAUUUUUUUUAUUCUUUCGAUUUUCUGCUUAGAAAUUCAUAAAAAACAAAAGAAGGUUGCCCAACCUUUAGCACCGAAUCAAGAUCUUGCUAGUCCUUUUUUACUUGCAUCCAACUGAUAAGAACAGUAAUAGAGGCGCGUGAUUUUUGGCUUGGUUUGUUCUACACGCACAAUUUUUUUGUGAGAAACUUGAAUCAGUGGCCGGAAGAUUGAUAAUUUGGCCGGAAUGUUGCUAUAAGGAACCAUUUUUAAUACAAUUUUUUAAAUCAAUGUACUAUUUGACAAAAGUGAAAACAAAAGGUACUAGUUCACAAAGUGAGGCAAAAAUAAAUACUUUCUGACAAUUUUAUCUAAAGUAAAUUAGGAACAAAUGGCUGACCUUAUUUUAAGGUCAUGGUCCAAGUCAUUUAAGAAUGGGUGUAGAAUCGGGUAUGGUCCAUAUUAAAACUCAAAUUAUUUGAAAUUUCUGGGUUCAAUUGCACAAGAUGAUGUCUCCAAACCAACUUCCGAGGAUCGUUAGAUUCGUCACCCAGUUUAUUCCAGAUAUUCUAGCAUUCACCAAGCUUACUCUUCUUCGACUAGUCCGGCCGGUAAAUGUAUCAGUACGUGCUUACUGCUUAGUAAACAUAAGCUAGCUGUUUCAAAAUGUUACAUUAAGAAAAAAAAGCUUGACUUAAGGGGUACUCUUGUUCAUAGCAGGGUUUCCUUGUAAACGUAUGCAUGCAUGGUUGUGAGGUCUACCUCUAACCAAGAGUGCAUUACAAAAUACUGCUACUUCUGUAGCAACUAAGGUGUUUUAGACAAGAUUAGAUAAAAUAUGAUUAAGUGCAUUCACCUGGA